GAGGCUGCCGGAACCCUUGUCAGAUGUAAUGCCCGAGUUACCAAGCACAUGUGUUAAUUAAGCGUGCAGGAGGGGACUACACGAUUUGGAGCUGCUUCAACCUCUGUCGGUCAGGCGUAGAAAGACUCUGAAUAAUUGAAACGUUUGACAGUACAUUAAGAGAUCAACAUGUUGUUAUUGGUAUUACUUUGUAAUUACGCCCUUACUCCUAAUCAUGCUGCAAAGCCAGUGCAAGGGUGGGAGAUAUGGGCCGGGAAUUGAGAGGCGAAGUCUUGCUACCUGAUUUGUGAAUGGGGACCACCUUCCCAGUCGUACAGUCGGCACGCAAAAUACCACAGUCAAUGGUCUGCUGAAAAAUCUUAGAAAGCAGAACUUUCUUCUCGCAAAACAAGACAUAUAGGAUGCUUAAAAGGACAUACGUAGUGCCUGCAGGGCCCAACGACUCACUAUGCGUCACGGCAUUACCUACGCCGCC